GGAUGUGAGGGUGAUCUGGCUGCGACAUUUGUCACCCCAUUGAUCAUCAGGGUUGAUUCGGCUGAGCUGGCUGCCUACGCGGGUGUCCCCUUCCUCCCUCAAUGCUCCAUAUGUGUCCUUCCCGAAGCUUCGCACUCGGUGGAGGAGGAUGACCACCCCGAUAGAGGAGGACCAUUCCUGGGUCAAGGGUAUAUGAGGAGCUGCGCUCCCCUGCUAGAACCUCCAAACAAGCUCUCAGGAAAAAUAGUGUGUUUAAGUAACUUUCAUAACAGUAAAAGACACAUUGCCAUUAAC
rnacentral:snRNA from 1 species